GGAGAGGUGGCUGAGUGGACUAAAGCGUCGGAUUGCUAAUCCGUUGUACGAAUUCUUCAUACCGGGGGUUCGAAUCCCCCUCUCUCCG
rnacentral:tRNA from 1 species